AUUGAACGCUGGCGGCAUGCCUUACACAUGCAAGUCGAACGGCAGGCACGGGAGCAAUCCUGGUGGCGAGUGGCGAACGGGUGAGUAAUAUAUCGGAACGUGGCCCAGUCGUGGGGGAUAACGUAGCGAAAGCUACGCUAAUACCGCAUACGAUCUAUGGAUGAAAGCGGGGGAUCGCAAGACCUCGCGCGAUUGGAGCGGCCGAUAUCAGGAUUAGGUAGUUGGUGGGGUAAAAGCCUACCAAGCCUUCGAUCUGUAGCUGGUCUGAGAGGACGACCAGCCACACUGGAACUGAGACACGGUCCAGACUCCUACGGGAGGCAGCAGUGGGGAAUUUUGGACAAUGGGCGCAAGCCUGAUCCAGCAAUGCCGCGUGCAGGAUGAAGG
rnacentral:rRNA from 1 species